UACAGAGGUCUCAAGCGUUGUUCGGAUUCAUUGGGCGUAAAGGGUGCGUAGGUGGCGAGGCAAGUCAGAUGUGAAAUCCCGGGGCUCAACCCCGGAACUGCAUUUGAAACUGCCUUGCUCGAGUACUGGAGAGGAGACUGGAAUUUACGGUGUAGCAGUGAAAUGCGUAGAUAUCGUAAGGAAGACCGGUGGCGAAGGCGGGUCUCUGGGCCGAUACUGACGCUGAGGAGCGAAAGCGUGGGGAGCGAACAGG
rnacentral:rRNA from 1 species